rnacentral:rRNA from 1 species
AGCGAACGCUGGCGGCAGGCCUAACACAUGCAAGUCGAACGAACUCUUCGGAGUUAGUGGCGGACGGGUGAGUAACACGUGGGAACGUGCCUUUUGGUUCGGAAUAACUCAGGGAAACUUGUGCUAAUACCGAAUGUGCCCUUCGGGGGAAAGAGUUAUCGCCAUUAGAGCGGCCCGCGUCUGAUUAGCUAGUUGGUGAGGUAACGGCUCACCAAGGCGACGAUCAGUAGCUGGUCUGAGAGGAUGACCAGCCACACUGGGACUGAGACACGGCCCAGACUCCUACGGGAGGCAGCAGUGGGGAAUCUUGCGCAAUGGGCGAAAGCCUGACGCAGCCAUGCCGCGUGAAUGAUGAAGGUCUUAGGAUUGUAAAAUUCUUUCACCGGGGACGAUAAUGACGGUACCCGGAGAAGAAGCCCCGGCUAACUUCGUG